rnacentral:lncRNA from 1 species
AUAUUUUCUUAUUCUAAGAAAUUAUUUACACCAUAACUUAUAUAAACCACGAAAUAAAAUUAAAACAUCCAACUAGCAUUAUCCAUAUACAAAAACAAAAUAUGAAUAAAUUGUUUGAUCAACAAUUCAAAAUAAAUGAGUUUGCAUACAAAAAGUUCUAAACUAAAAUAUCCUUGAACAUAAUAAUAGAAAGUUUAACAACGAUCAACAAUACUCAAGUAAGGUCUUCGUCACUACUUUCAUCCGCAAUCGCUGCACCUACAAAAGACAAUGAAAAAUAAUUAAACAAAAUUUUUAGGAUAAUUGAAUCACAAAGUAAUUGAAUGGCCAAUUUGAUAACUCGAAAAAUUUUUCACUCUCUAAAUUCUUUGAUUUUUCGGCAGAGUUUCUUUGUAAAUAUGACUAUCCCAAAAUUUUCAACCUGCUCAAAACAUCAUUUGUAAAUACGACUAUCCCAAAAUUUUCAACCUGCUCAAAACAUGAUACAAUUUUCAUGCAGAACCUAAGAUCCAUCCACAAAUCACAAGAUGAGUAGCUGUACUUUAAGCAACACACAGCAAACCAGAAUCCGCAACAUACAAACCAAAGAAAACAACUCUCCGGUCUUUUUUUUUAAGUAAUACAAUAUGCCUUAACAUCUUUGAACAUUAUUACAUCACAAAACAGCAUCACCUAAACAAUAUUAAGUCUGACAGCUAUUGAACCAAAAAAACAGCAGAAUAUGCUAUUACGAAAAACAACAUUACAACCAACAACUGAACAUACUACGGCUCAGAAACAAGCAAUACUUGAACAUGGUUAGAUUUACAAAGUUUCUCACAAGCCCUCAGUGUAUGUCACACCAGUAAAUUUUAACAAAUAGUGGCUAUUAGAUUUAGCAAGAACAAUGAAUUUUUUUAAGUUAAUGACGUGCCACAAUCUUAUCAGUGUGUACCAUAAAAAAUAAUGCAAAUACUUGAAAAUUAAGAUCAGCAGAAGAAUGUUAGAAGAUCAGCAUUAUAUAAAGAGGAGAAGACUUAGAAAGAAGAACCGAAGGUAAAAAAAAAUUCGCCAUCAUUUCGGUGCUAUUUGGAAGAAGAAGAAGGAGGAGGAGGAAGAAGGAAGAAGGAAGAAGGAAGAAGAAAUCAUCGCAUACCUGUUGUCGCUGAAUCUCUGUUGAAGAAGAAGAAGCGCACGCUUUUGUCUAACUGAGUCGCUUCAUAUAACAGAAGCGGGUAAGGGGUCGCUACGCUUCGCUUCUCGCUUUUCACAACCCUGGCAUAAACACACACGUCAUAUAUUCUAGGUCAAGAUUAUGGCAAACUCUUUUGCAUAUCAAACUUUUAAAUGUAUUGUGGAUAAGGAAACAGAAGUGGAAGAAACACAUGUACUAAUUUCACAGUUGAGAAUGGUGUACUGGAGCUUUAUCAAUAUUUUUAUUUAAAAAUGCAUCUAAUGGUAUAGCUCUCAAGAGAUGUUGGCAGAAUCAAUGAUAUUCAUAUAAAUAUAUCUGUUUGUCCUAGCUUUUCAUCAGAAAUUGAUUAAUGUCUCCAUACAUACGGAGAUGUACAAUUGACAUAUAAAAAGGUGUAUAUACAUAGCUUAAGCACCUUCUGCUGUUAGCUUUGCUUUUAAGCACAACUUGAUAUGUCUUGUGUCAUCUGAAAGAUGAUGUAGUUAAGUUCAUUUCUUUUUUACCCUCUACUAGAAGCUGUAUUCUUAGAACUACAAUUCUCUGGGUUGAACGAUCAACAAAUAACCUAUAAGUUCAGAAAGCCUUGUCCGUAAAGUGGCAAUCCUAAUAAUAUCACGAAGCUUUUUGCUGGGCAAACAUAGGGGCUUAUUCUUUAGGUUCCAAAUUAAUAUGAUAUUAUCUUAGGUACAAAGUAUAGCAAAAUAAUAUGUAUGGCAAACUUAUGAUUCCUUAAUCUCUUUCCCAGCAAACUGCCAGUAUCCUUUUAUAUGUCUAAGUACCUAUAUUCAUCUGGUAUAUCUAAUUUAAACAGCAGGUAUGAAGAUGUAAUAAAAUCAAUUGAGCUGCAUUAAACCGGCGACUCUAAGUUGUAUGAGUUACUACUUCUAGUUCUGGUUUUCUACCUUUUUUGGUUUCUUCUACAAAUUUGCCAGAAUUAAGCAUUUAACAUAGAAAGGGAACUAGCUUAUUGCCUAAUGCAUGCCUAUCCAAUAUGUGUGUGUGUGUGUGUGAUAGAGAGAGAGAGAGAAAGAGAGAGAACAAGCAGGAUCUGAAUAUAUACUCUAAGACAACGAUAUACAUACCAUACCAUAUACUAUCACUCAUGCACAUCUAAUAACCCUUAUGAAUAUAAAGUCACAAAUGCCAAUUCUAAUAAAUGAGCAGAAUCUUGUUUAGAAGAUGUAUUGAGACCAAAUUCUAAACACUCAUCAGACAGGACAAGAAACUGAGGAUGAAGAACUCCUACAACAAAUACUACUACACCUCAAUUACAAGUAAGUUGACCAGAACAAAUAUGGCCCUUCAUUUUCCAUAUUUGGGGGUUUGGGGUUGGGGGGAGCCAAUGAUAGAGAUGAGAAGGGCUAGCAGAAGGAAUGGUGGUGCACUCGGCCGUAACCACAUUAUGCAGCAUUUCAACACAUAAACAGAAGUAUACUAUAUCAUCAAAAUAGCAUUCCAUUUAUUAACACGCUCAGAUACAUCACAUCUCUCCACAUUUAUUUUGAUAGAGAUUACAAUGUCACAAUUUGCAGUUUCUCUUGCAAAUUUAACUGGCCAUUUGUACUCAACACUCACCGAGGAAAGCAGCUAGAUACUAUGUUGUGGGAGAAAGGAAAAAACACACUUACCUCCAGUGUGAAGUACUUGACUUUCCUACUGUAAUCAGAUUUCCCUGCUACACCAACAGAUUCAACGACCUCUAUAUUCUUUCUCUGUGUAGCUAAUUUGCGAGCAGCACCCUGAGAAAAAAUAAGAAGGAAAAGGUUUGAUGAUGUCCAAGAGAGGAGGAAAGACAUGAGCAAGGGGGCAACCAAAGACAAGUAGGGACAUCACCACUUCAUUUUCCAAAUGCAUGUCACAGUUUUCAAACAAUUACUGCACAUU